rnacentral:rRNA from 1 species
GACGAACGCUGGCGGCGUGCUUAACACAUGCAAGUCGAACGGAAAGGCCCUGCUUUUGUGGGGUGCUCGAGUGGCGAACGGGUGAGUAACACGUGAGUAACCUGCCCUUGACUUUGGGAUAACUUCAGGAAACUGGGGCUAACACCGGAUAGGAGCUCCUGCUGCAUGGUGGUGGUUGGAAAGUUUCGGCGGUUGGGGAUGGACUCGCGGCUUAUCAGCUUGUUGGUGGGGUAGUGGCUUACCAAGGCUUUGACGGGUAGCCGGCCUGAGAGGGUGACCGGCCACAUUGGGACUGAGAGACGGACCAGAGUCCUACGGGAGGCAGCAGUGGGGAAUAUUGCACAAUGGGCGGAAGCGUGAUGCAGCAACGCCGCGUGCGGGAUGACGGCCUUCGGGUUGUAAACCGCUUUCGCCUGUGACGAAGCGUGAGUGACGGUAAUGUAUAAAGAAGCACCGGCUAACUACGUG